rnacentral:rRNA from 1 species
UGGGGAAUAUUGCACAAUGGGCGCAAGCCUGAUGCAGCCUUGCCGCGUGUAUGAAGAAGGCCUUCGGGUUGUAAAGUACUUUCAGCGGGGAGGAAGGGAGUAAAGUUAAUACCUUUGCUCAUUGACGUUACCCGCAGAAGAAGCACCGGCUAACUCCGUACCAGCAGCCGCGGUAAUACGGAGGGUGCAAGCGUUAAUCGGAAUUACUGGGCGUAAAGCGCACGCAGGCGGUUUGUUAAGUCAGAUGUGAAAUCCCCGGGCUCAACCUGGGAACUGCAUCUGAUACUGGCAAGCUUGAGUCUCGUAGAGGGGGGUAGAAUUCCAGGUGUAGCGGUGAAAUGCGUAGAGAUCUGGAGGAAUACCGGUGGCGAACGCGGCCCCCUGGACGAAGACUGACGCUCAGGUGCGAAAGCGUGGGGAGCAAACAGG